rnacentral:lncRNA from 1 species
UAAAAGAAUCCUUAAAAAAUCCUAAAAAAUUAGAAUAAUCACAAAUCUUAAAUAAAUCUCAAUCAAGUUCUAAUUUAAUCCUAGUUGAAAUCCUAUUGGACUUCAAUUAAAUCCUAGACAAAUCCUAAAUCCUAAAUCAAAUCCUAAAUCAAACUCUAAAUAAAUUGUAAAUCCUAAACUCUAAAUCAAAUUCUAAACCAAACCCUAA